GGACCUAGCCGCCACUCUCCUCUUCUUGCAGCCUUGUCUCCCUCCAAACCCUAGCCCCGCACGCCGCCGGCCGCGCUGCUCCGCCUCCUCCUCUCGUCAACUUCUCUCCUCCCUCCCUCGAUCUGUUUCCUCUCCUUGCCCGCGCCGCCUCCUCCGGCACGGAUAAGACCGGAUCCCCGCCGCAACCGGCAGAGCUCCUCACCGGCGGCGGCCAGAUCGGUUUCGUCGGUAACCAGAUUGGUUUCAUUGACGCCGGUGCCGAUGUCAAAGUCGUCCCGCAUUGCGCCGUCCUCGCCAACGAUGCCGAGGCGGGCGGGCGGGGGAGGGGGCGAGGGCGCUAGGGGAGGAGGCGGCGGCGGCGACGGGUUCGCAUUGGAGGUGGCGGGGAUGCCACUGGAGGCGGCGGCGGCGGCCCCGUCCUGGAGACACUGAAUAUCCAUGGAUCCAGCAAGGGGCUGAGACUUGGCCUCGUCAGCCAGAGCCUCCGGUGCGUCCAAAUUUGCGGCUCUGUUCUGGAGGACAUCGCCGUGGUGGAGGCUCCUCGGCUCGAGCGGCUCAUCCUGGAGGGGUUUCGGAGCAACGCCGGCGGCUUGUGCACCAGGGUCACGAUUGGCGAUGCUCCCAAGCUGCAAGCAUUAGGAAUGCUGGAGCCAGGGAACACCAUCCUAGAGAUCGGAGUCUUCGGAGACACCAUCGGCAUGGCCAGCCCAGGCAGCAUGGCCACCAGCGUCAAGUUCCUGAGUCUGAAUGUGCGUUUCGGAAACCACACCAAUGCCAAGAUGGUUCCCUCCUUCCUCGCUUGCUUUCCCAAUUUGGAGGCACUACACAUCAUGUCUGAAAAAGGUGAUUAUGAAGCUGGCAGUGCCAGGCUGAAUCUCAACUUUUGGAAGCUGGUCAAGCCUACCGAAAACAUCAAGUCGUGCAUCAAGUAUUCGUAUGAAUUACUUCUCCAGUAUCUCCAGAAAACACAAGCUCUUGUGAUGCUUGGAAUAAUCAAUGAAAGGACAAUUUUUGAAGUAUCUGCUGGGCAGCCUUCAUUGAUCUCUGAUGAUGCCGAUGUUGUUGCUCUGGUUGGAACUAGUAAGGACUAGGCAAAACAGAUAAAUCAGAAGGAAGUGCAUUGGGGGUUGCUUGAAGAUUCAGUUGAGGAGCGUAUGGAGAAAGCACUCUCAGAUUCUGAUAGAGCUGAAGCAGAAAGCAAGGAUGCAGACGCAGAAGAUAAUAACAAGAAAAAAUCUUCAGAAGGUGGAAAGCAGGGUGGUUCUCUUAACAAAAAGCUCAAAAAGGAUAAGUUUGUAGGUCCAACAAGGAAAAAUACCAAAUCCGAAACAAGCAUGGUUUCUGCGGCACCUCGUGUGAAACCGGAGCUAACCCUUCCACCAACCGGAGCUAACCCUUCCACCAACGUAAUUUUUUUCCUCUUUGUAAAUUUCUCUAUAAGAAGCUCAGUUUGAUCUACAGUUCUAAAUAAUUCCUCAACUGCAGCCUUUGAAAAAUAUAAAUACCAUUCCUAUAACUGAACGUGAGGUUGUUGUUGUGAUCUAUUGGAUAUGUAAUAUAUUGUUGUGAUCUA